UGGUCAGUUUUCAGCUGGUGGCACAAGACGGUCUGUGAUUAGCCGACGAGUCCUUCGGGUCUUAAAGAGACGUAAUGGCGUCGGCGGAGAGAAGAAUGGGUGUGUGCAACAUAAUGGACGCUCUUGGGCAUUUAAAUGGAAGACAAUGAGUGACCAGUGAACAUCUGCCGUGUUAAGAGUGUUGUGGGCAGUGUUCAUUUCCGAGUGUUACCGGAAGGCCAUAAUUGUACUAAGUAAUUACGUUGAUUGGGUUGGAGAGACUGUGGUGAAAUGGACGCCUAAAAAGAAUACACUCUUUGAAAAUGGAUUGCUGAAAAUAAAUGUAAGUACCACCAAUUGUGAGUACAACACAGAGUAACGGUGAAGUGUUAACACAGUGUUAAAAUCAUUGCAAUUGAAAAGGACAGUGAAUACGUGUUGAGUACUGAGGAG